rnacentral:sRNA from 1 species
CUGCCCGCUGCUGCCAGCUACACCUCCGUUGCCCAGGCCCUGGGAUCAAACC